rnacentral:lncRNA from 1 species
UAGUUUCGCACUUUCUCACUUUAGUACUUUACGGUUUAAAAUGUAUUAUUUUCGUAUCUUGUGGUUUCGUUUUUCUCUUUCGUUAUCUCCUCUAUUAAUUUUUUUCAUUAAAUUAGUGAUUAAGCGAAAACAAACUACAUGGUACUAAAGUGUAUAUACGAUAAACCAUAGGUGGGUGUUUGAAGUUUUUUGUAUAUGAUUUAACAGAGAGUUAAUAGAAGCGCUGUCGAAAAGAAAAAAAAAUGAAAUCAUAUGGUACUAAAAUUAUACACUUCAAACUAUAUAAUAUUAAAGUGAGAAAGCGCAAAAUUAUAGGGGUUGUCUUGAAAGCUUAUCAAUAUAAAUAUUAUUAUAUUU